AUGCGUGCAGCCGUUGACUGAGGUUGGGGUACGGCCAGCACUGGCGCGCAUGUCGCCUCCCCAUUUCCGGCGUCUCGUGCGUCCGUUUCCAACCGUCAGUCCGAGGAGUACUCGAGCGCCGUGAACGGUCGGGUGGCGGGAUCAGUAUCUUGUUGUCGUUGCUGUCACUCGAGCACCAGUAGCCCGGCUGCAUUAACUUUGGUCCGGGAGGAGGGGAAUGGAUUGAAGGCGCCUGUCCUGCGUGUGGAGAGUGCGGAAGACGGUGGUUUUGAUGUCCGGGCCCGGGGAGGUGCCGGCUCCCGGCGGCGGCGGCGGCGGUGGCGGUGGAGCCCAGCCUGUCAGCGAGGGUGACCAUGUGGUGCUCAAGCGGGAGGAGGUGUUUAAGGCCGUGCAAGUGCACAGAGGAAGAAAAAUCACCUUUGAGAAACAGUGGUUUUACUUGGACAAUGCGAUUGGACAGCAGUAUGGUACCACUUUUGAGGUUUCCAGUGGAGGAGUACUCCAACCACUUAAAGUAAAAACUAAAGAAGUUGCCAAAGAAGUAAAUGAAGCUGGUGUUGAUAAUCGAAACAUCAUUGAUGAUGGCAAGUCCCAAAAGCUCAGCAGAGAUGACAUUGAGGCACUUAAAGAGCAGGGAUUAAAAGGUCAGGAUAUUGUUCAACAUUUGAUAGAGAAUAGCACAACAUUUAGAGACAAAACUGGAUUUGCUCAAGAAAAGUACAUCAAGAAGAAAAAGAAAAAGUACGAAGCAUUUAUAACUAUCCUAAAGCCUACCACUCGCAUAAUGGCCAUGAUGUAUCAUUCCCGUGAGCCAGGUAAAAUUUGCUACUUAAGGUAUGACACACUGGCUCAGAUGUUAACUCUUGGGAACAUCCAUGCAGGCUCCAAAGUAAUUGUAGCAGAAACCUGUGCUGGUCUGGUGCUUGGUGCUGUAAUGGAGAGAUUAGGAGGUUUUGGCUCUGUUAUCCACAUGUAUCCAGGUAGCUUGCCUAUCAGGGCAGCGAUGGAGAAUUUUGGGUUUCCAAAAUCCUUCUAUAACCAUCUAUAUGAUUUCCCUAUCAACAAAUUGAACAGCCUUCUUUCUGGAGUUUUCUUGGCUGAGAAAGAAACGCUGCAAAAACAAACUGAAGUUAUGGUGGAAGAAGGUAAUGGGAGCCUGCUGAACAUAUGCCAGGGUGAUGGAAUGCCUUGUGGUGAGACCGUGAUGGAUAACAACAAAUCUGAAGAAACUGAGGCCAUGGAUGUUGCUUGUGAGGAGGCUGAAAAUAAAGAAAAAAAUUCAGACCGAAAAUCCAAUGUUGAAGAGAGGAAGAGUAAACAAGAAGAUAGACUAAAGAAAUUGCAGGCUGCUGCUGCUGUGCUGCAAGAGAGAAAUGCAGAUGGGCUAAUUAUAGCGAGUCGCCUGUAUCCCAGCCCCUUAUUACUUUGUCUUUUGGAGUUUGUGGCACCAUCUAGACCAUUUGUCAUCUACUGCCAGUACAAAGAGCCUUUGCUUGUGUGCUAUUCAAAUCUACGAGAAAGGGGUGGAGUUGUUAACCUGAGGUUAUCUGAAACAUGGCUGAGAGGCUAUCAGGUUUUGCCAAAUCGGACUCAUCCCAAGCUGACAAUGAGUGGAGGUGGUGGCUACAUUCUGACUGGUAUUACGGUUGCAAUGGACAGAACGAAAUCAGUUGCCAAUAUUUCUGAAGAACCUGCAGCCAAAAGACAAAAAGUUGAGGAAUCCAAAAGUUAGCUUUCCUCCAAAUACUGUUGCUAAGCCUGAAAUUGAUUGAGCUUGGAGCUCAUUGUAAAGCUCAAAUUGCAAAUUUCUACAGACUGCUAUACAUUUAUUUUGGUAUAAUAUGCAGACCAUGACGACUUCCAAAGAACUUGGAUGAAAGCAAUAGAACUCCUCAAAUUCGAGCAAAUAACAAUACUGUACAAACUAGAACUACCAAUACAAUCCACCAGAACCUGUGCAGUUUCUUUCUAACACCCACAGUUAACUUGUAUAUAUGGGUAUGUACUAUGAUAAAACAUUCUACAGUGUACACAACUUGGUAAAUGUAGUCAAAACAGAUUCCUUGAAUUUCUCAGCACCUGUCUCCAAUUGUUAGUGUCGCUGAUCAUCAAAUGUCAUUGACUUUACAAGAGAUUGCAAUUCCUCAUUUUUACUGAUUUGGCAUUAAUUCCAUCUCAAGUGCUAUUUCAUCAUGGAUUAUCUGAACGAAUGUUGUUCUUCGAGCUUAUCACCCUCCUGUUAUAGAUCUGCACUGUGAAAUUCCAAACAUAAUUCCUGCUCUUCACCAGCAGCUGGGUACUCGCAACCAGGUAUGUCCCUGGUUUCGUCCCUAAGCUCUAAUCUGCUCAGUUGUAUGUCGGCAUUUCAACCUUCCUGCGCUCAGCUGCACUGAAGUACUAAUGUUUCCAAGCUCUUCUCAGCUUCUGUGUUGCUGGAAAAGCGCAGCAGGUCAGGCAGCAUCCAAGGAACAGGAGAAUUGACGUU